rnacentral:rRNA from 1 species
CUCGUAGGUGGCCAACUAAGUCAUACGUGAAAUCCCUCAGCUUAACUGGGGAACUGCGUCUGAUACUGGAUGGCUUGAGUUUGGGAGAGGGAUGCGGAAUUCCAGGUGUAGCGGUGAAAUGCGUAGAUAUCUGGAGGAACACCGGUGGCGAAGGCGGCAUCCUGGACCAAUACUGACACUGAGGAGCGAAAGCCAGGGAGACGAAACG